rnacentral:rRNA from 1 species
GAUGAACGCUGGCGGCGUGCCUAAUACAUGCAAGUCGAGCGAACAGAUAAGGAGCUUGCUCCUUUGAAGUUAGCGGCGGACGGGUGAGUAACACGUGGGUAACCUACCUAUAAGACUGGGAUAACUUCGGGAAACCGGAGCUAAUACCGGAUAACAUUUAGAACCGCAUGGUUCUAAAGUGAAAGAUGGUUUUGCUAUCACUUAUAGAUGGACCCGCGCCGUAUUGGCUAGUUGGUAAGGUAACGGCUUACCAAGGCGACGAUACGUAGCCGACCUGAGAGGGUGAUCGGCCACACUGGAACUGAGACACGGUCCAGACUCCUACGGGAGGCAGCAGUAGGGAAUCUUCCGCAAUGGGCGAAAGCCUGACGGAGCAACGCCGCGUGAGUGAUGAAGGGUUUCGGCUCGUAAAACUCUGUUAUUAGGGAAGAACAAAUGUGUAAGUAACUGUGCACAUCUUGACGGUACCUAAUCAGAAAGCCACGGCUAACUACGUG